CUGAAGACAGGUUUGUGGGAAAUGUAACAGAAUCCAAAAUCAUAGCAAACUUUCUGAUGGAUGAUACACUACACCAGAAAAACCUAGAAAGACUGACCUUUCUUCACUUGAUAAGAAGAAAAGAAAAUUGAAUUCACCCUGCUUUGAUGCGCAUGGUUAAUUCUUCAGACCAGAUCUUGGUUCACAAGCCUGGGGUAAUGCUGAAGCUUUUGCGGUGGGAGCUCCAAGUUGGAACCACUGGACUAACAGAGAACCUCAGACCCCAGGGAAUAUUCAUCGGAGUGAGGUCUCAAGGAGGUCCUCAUCUCGGCACCAAGACCCAGCUCCGCCCAACAGCCUACAGACUCCAGUGUUGGAAGCCUCAGGCCCAACAACCAGUAAGACGGGAACUCAAUCCCACUCAUUAAAAAAUUUUAAAAAAGAGACAGCAAAAAAAUGUCACAGAUGAAGGAGCAAGGUAAAAACCUACAAGACCAAAUAAAUGAACAGGAAAUAGGCAAUCUACCUGAAAAAGAAUUCAGAGUAAUGAUAGUAAAGAUGAUCCAGAAUCUCGGAAAUAGAAUGGAGGAACAGAUUGAGACAAUACAAGAAAUGUUUAACAAAGAUCUGGAAGAACUAAAGAACAAGCAAACAGAUGAACAACACAAUAACUGAAAUGAAAAAUACACUAGAAUGAAUCAAUAACAGAAAAACAGAGGCAGAAGAACGAAUAAGUGAGCUGGAAGACAAAAUGGUGGAAAUAACUGCAAAGAAACAGAAAAAGAAUGAAAAGAAUUGAAGACAAUCUCAGAGACCUCUGGGACAACACUAAACACAUCAACAUUCGAACUAUAGGGGUCCCAGAAGAAGAAGAGAAAAAGAAAGGGUGUGAGAAAAUAUCUGAAGAGAUUAUAGUUGAAAACUUCCCUAACAUGGGAAAGGAAAUAGUCACCCAAGUCCAGGAAGCACAGAGAGUCCCAUACAGGAUAAACCAUAGGAAACACACACCAAGACACAUAGUAAUCAAAUGAACAAAAAAUAAAUUCAAAGAAAAAUACUAAAAGCAGCAAGGGAAAAACAAAAAAUAACAUACAAAGGAAUCCCCAUAAGCUUAUCAGCUGAUUUUUCUGCAGAAACUCUGCAGGCCAGAAGGGAGUGGCAGGAUAUACUUAAAGUGAUGAAAGAGAAAAACCUACAACCAAGAUUACUCUACCCAGCAAGGAUCUCAUUCAGAUUUGGGGAGAAAUCAAAAGCUUUUCAGACAAGCAAAAGCUAAGAGAAUUGAGCGCCACCAAACCAGCUUUACAACAAAUGCUACAGAAACUUCUCUAGGCAGGAAACACAAGAGAAGAAAAAGACCCACAAAAACAAACCCAAAACAAUUAAGAAAAUGGUAAUAGGAACAUACAUAUCAAUAAUAACCUUAAUGUAAACGGAUUAAAUGCCCCAAUCAAAAGACACAGACUGGCUGAAUGGAUAAAAACCCCAGACCCAUAUAUAUGCUGUCUACAACAGACCCACUUCAGACCUAGGGACACAUAGAGACUGAAAGUGAAGGAAUGGAAAAAAGAUAUUCCAUGCAAACGGAAAUCAAAAGAAAGCUGGGGUAGCAAUACUCGCAUCAGAUAAAAUAGACUUUAAAAUAAAGACUGUUACAAGAUAUAAGGAGG
ensembl:lncRNA